GGGUAUAGCUCAAGUGGUAGAGCACAUGCUUAGCACGCAUGAGGUCCUGCAUUCAAUUCCCAGUAUGUCCU
rnacentral:tRNA from 1 species